CUUUUUGUAAAUAAUUUAAAGUUUAAUCUGCCCACUGAUNAAAUUAUUAAAGGGCUGCAGUAUUUUGACUGUACAAAGGUAGCAUAAUCAUUAGUCUCUUAAUUGGUGACUUGUAUGAAAGAUUGGAUGAGAUAUAUACUGUCUCUAUUUAAUUUAUAAAAUUUAAUUUUUUAGUAAAAAAGCUAAAAUGUUUUUAAAAGACGAGAAGACCCUAUAGAGUUUAAUAAUUUAUUUAAUUAUUAUUAAUAUAUAAAUCUUAAAAUUAAAAUUAAAUAAGUUAUUUUGUUGGGGUGAUAAAAAAAUUAAAUUAACUUUUUUUUUAUUUUAUACAUUAAUUUAUGAAUAAAUGAUCCAUUAAUAGUGAUUAAAAGAAAAAAUUACCUUAGGGAUAACAGCGUAAUUUUUUUUUUUAGUUCAAAUAGGAAAAAAAGUUUGCGACCUCGAUGUUGGAUUAAGAUAAAAUUUAAAUGCAAAA
rnacentral:rRNA from 1 species